CCUCCCCCUGCAGGAGUUGGGAACGCGCAGAUUCCGCGAAUCACAGUUUUCAGAUAUGGCUGAAAUUGAUAACCCAAGUGAGCAGCUCAGGGAUCAGGACCUGAGGUUUUCAGCACAAACGACAAGAGGUUCAAGUAGAAAAGCAGAAGCGGAACAUGCAAUAUGCAGCCCGUGCCUGGCUUCCCUCACUCAGCUUGACGAAAUCACAGAACAGAUUGUUCUCAAGGAGGCCCCCGUGGUGUUUUCCGGAGCUCCUCUGCCAGGUCUCCAGUUGCGGCAGGGUCCACGUCGCCCCUCCCCUUGGCUCUGGGUUGGCCUUGUCACCAACGUGGCAGUCUGAAAGACCCCCCCACCCAGACAGCCCUCUGCGAUCUGCGAAGUGAGCAGAGCUGCAUGUGCUGCUCAUCCUUCACCCCUUCAUUCAUUCACUUGGAAGCACCCAGUGAGCACUGUGAAGUCGUGGGCGCUGGUCCAGUGGUGACUGAGGGCAGUGGUGGGUGCCAGGUCCAGUGGUGACCGAGGGCAGUGUCCUCAGGGACUCACGGUUGGCUGUCCUUAGGGACUCACGGUUGGCUGUGGGGACACAGUGGUGUGCACCGGGUCCAGCGGUGACCGAGGGCAGUGGUGGGUGUCGGGUCCAGUGGUGACCGAGGGCAGUGGUGGGCGACGUGUCCAGUGGCGACCGAGGGCAGUGGUGGGUGCUGGGUCCAGUGGUGACCGAGGGCAGUGGUGGGCGCUGGUCCAUUGGUGACCAAGGGUACUCGUCUUCAGGGACUCACAGCUGGGGGGGCACCAAUGAGCAAAGAAAGAAGAAAGAACAAAAGGAAGAUGGGUGGGUGCAGCACAUGCUGCUGGGGCCAGGAGGAGCCUCACCCUGUUGUUCCAGGCCCGGCACCCCCAGCCUGUUCCGGGAAAACUGUCUGGCAAGGCAGGCCUGACCUUGCCCAGGCCACGCUGGCCCCUCUCCCUCUGAACCUCGUGGCUCAUGGCCCAGGACCCGAUGGCAGCGAGCCCAUGGGGGUGAGCCUGGGAAGGAUGCUCUGUGUGGAUGGGGAGUGGCAGGGGCAGGAUUGUGGUCUGGGCUUAGGAGGGGGAGUCCUGCGUGCCCCGGGGAGGCUGACUUUUCGGCAUUAGAAGGAAAUUUGCCUUGAAAAAGAACCUGGGACAGUGCCUGAAAGACACAACUGGGAGGGUCCGAGGCUGGCCAACCCCAGAACUGAGUUCUUGGCCAGCUGCCCAGGGCACCUGGCUUGGUAGGAGGCUGGAGAGGCACUAGAGCCCGCUGAGGAUGUCCGGCCCUCGCACUCUCUGGCUGCCCUGGGUGCACCCACCUGCCAAAUGCAGACUUCUCAGCACCCCUCAAGCCUGCCUGAUUCCCCUGCUGGGAAGAGCACGCCAGCACUCCUGACCUGGAGCUGUCCUUCUCAGCACGUGGUCUCAGAGAGCGGGCGGUGGGUGAGACCAUGCGGGGGUCGUUGGGUAUAAAAUGGAUUGAUCUUGAGCUGUGGUUCAUCUCCGUGAGCACCAGAGCGUGGAGCUAAAAGAUGGCUUCAUCUACGGAGGACAAAAUUUACUUUCAAUAUCUCACUUUAUGGGGGAUAUGAACUGUGAGUUUAGGAGCCAAGUCCAGCAUGCUAAAAAUCUUCCAAGCUGUUUCAUUUUCUUAUCUCCAAGGAACCGGUGAGAAUAUGUGGGUAAGUAUUGGAAUCUGACACGUACAGCUCAUAGGCAGAUGGGAUCCUUCAAGGUGGUUUAGACGCGUCCUCUGGGCUGGCAGCAAAUCACUUCUGGGCUCCACUGUUUGCCACCUUUGCUGUGGAACACAGCGGAACCUGCAGCAUCUGGGCUGGGAUUGGACUUCAGAGGGUGCACAUGUGGUUUUUGUGGGCAGUUUUUCUCAGUGGCCUUUUUAUUGAGGAAUAACAUACAUACGGAAAGGUUCCCAAAUCAUAGAUGUAUGGCUUGAUGCAUUUUAAAAAGUGGACACACCCUGAAACUUCCAUCCAGACAAAGAGACAUGGUGUUUGCAGCACCCCAUCUCGCAGGCCCCCUUAGAGGGAACCGCUAUUCUGACUUUCAUGACCGUGAAUGAGGUUUGCCUGGGAUUGAACUUUACAUACAUGAAAUCGUAAGCUAUGGACCCUUUAGUGUCUGGCUUCUUUUGCUCAAGUUAGAUUUGUGAGAUUCGUCUAGAUCAUUAUGGGCAGAAAUUCUUUCUUUCUCCAUGGCUGUCUUCGAUGGUCUGAGUACACUUCUUUUUAAACAAAUUUAAUUUAAUUUUAAGUUCCGGUAUCCGUGUGUGGGACGUGCAGGUUUGUUACAUAGGUAAAUGUGUGCCAUGGUGGUUUGCUGCACCCAUCAGCCCAUCACCCAGGUAUUAAGCCCAGCACACAUUCGCUAUUUAUCCUGCUUGAGGGUCUCUCUCUUCUCACGCAUGAACAGCGUUGUUCUUUUGCAUAGUUCAGGGCUGUGGGGCAUAGUGUGGCCCCGCGUUCAUGUGCGUGUCUCAUGGUGAACACAGGCAGGCGUUGGGCAUAAAUCCAACCAUCACACAUGCAUUGCAAAUAUCUACUCACAGUUUCUGGCUUAGUUUUAAUUCUCUUAACAGUGUCCCUUGAUAAACAGGCAUUCUUAACUUUAACAAAGUCCAAAGUUUCCAUCUUUCCAUUAGUCUUCAGAAAAAUAAGUAGCAUUUAACAAUUCUAUUUUCUAUUUGUGUUACUGGUAUAUUGGGAUACAAUGUUUCAUGCUAACCACAUAUCUUGUGUCUUGCUAAAUUCUCAUAUUAACUGUAACAAUUUAGCUGUAGAUUCUUUUGGAUUUUCUACAUGCACAAUUGUGUUACCUGUAACUAAUUACAGUUUCAUGUCUUUAUUUCCAGUCCCAUACUUUUGCUUUCCUUUCCUACCUUCUCAUCCUGGCCUGGGCCUCCACCACCACAUUUGACAGAAAUGAAAAUAGCAGACUCUUGUCUCAUUCCUGACAUCAGGGGAAAACUUUUGACAUUUUAUCAGGAAGUGUGUUGGCUGUAGGCUUUAGGCUUUUUGAUGAUAUCUGUAUCAUAUUAAGAAAGUUACUUUCUCAGACUUCUUUUACUUUUACAGCCUGGGCAACAGAGCAAGACUCCAUCUCACACACACACACACACACACACAAAGUUAUUUUCUCGGACUUUUUAUCCUGAAGAGUGUUGAAUUUUAUCAAUGCUUUUCCUGAAUUUACUGAGAUUAUUAAAUGGUUUUUCUUUUUUAUUCUUUUAAUGUAAUGCAUUACAUUUGUUGAUUUUCAAAUAUUAAACUAACUCUUUAUUUUUGUAAUGAACCCAAUUUGGUUGUGAUGUUUUAUCUACUUUAUAUUUCUGGAUUUAAUUUUCUAAUAUUUUGAUGAGAGUUUUGUGCCUAUGUUCACAAGACAGAUUAACCUAUGAUACUCAUUUUUUAUAGUUUUCUUCUCAAGUUUUAGGGUGAAUUAAUAAUGGCCUCAUAAAAUGAACUGGGGGGUGUAUUAGUCUGUUUUCACACUGCUAUAAUGAAAUACCUGAGACUGGGUAAUUUAUAAAGGAAAGAGGUUUGAUUGACUCACAGUUCCACAUGGCUGGGGAGGCCUCUGGAAACUUAUGAUCAUGGCAGAAGGGGAAGAGGCACAUCUUGCGUGGCGGCAGGCGAGAGAGAGCAUGCGAAGGGAGCUAAGGGGGAAGAGUCUCUUACAAAACUAUCAACUCUCAUGAGAACACCCUCACUAGCAUGAGAACAGCAUGGGGGGAAGCUGCCCCCAUAAUCCAAUCACCUCCCACCAGGUUCCUCCCUCAACACCUGGGGAUUACAAUUUAAGAUGAGAUUUGGGUGAGGAUACAAAGCCAAACCAUAACAAGGGAUAUUUCUUUUUUUCCUGUUUUCUGGAAGAAUUUUAUAAGAUUUGUGUUAGUUCAUCUUUAAAUAUUUGAAAAUAUUUAUCUUACGUGUUCUGGGCCUAGAGUUUUUCUGUGGAAAGGUUUAAAAUUAAUGAUUCAAUUAAUUUAUUUAUUAUGCAUAGGACUACUUACAUACUCUAUUUCUUCUUGUGUCUCUUGUUAUAUUUGUUUUUCUAAGAAUGUGUCCAUUUCAUUUGACUUAUUGAUUUGUUUGGCAGAAAGCCAUUUGUCAUACUUCAUAAUAUUUGUAAUGUCUGUGGGGUCUUUAGUAGUAAUCCCUUCUUAAUCUCUACUAUUGCCAGCAUGUGCCAUAUUAUUUUGUGUGUGUGUGUGUGUGUGUUUUUGAGAUGGAGUUUUGCUCUCGUCACCCAGGCCAGAGUGUAGUGGCAUGAUCUCAGCUCACUGCAAUCUCUGUUUCCCGGGUUCAAGUGAUUCUCCUGCCUCAGCCUCCCAAGUAGCUGGGAUUACAGGCACCAGCCACCACACCUGGCUAAUUUUUGUAUUUUUAGUAGAGAUGAGGUUUCAACAUGUUGUCCAGGCUGGUCUUGAACUCCUGACCUCAGGUGAUCCACCCACCUCAGCCUCCCAAGUGCUGGGAUUACGGGCAUGAGCCACUGUGCCCAGACUAUUUUGUGCUAUUUUUUUAUUAGUCUUGGGCAGUCAAUAUUAUUAAUCUGUACAAAAACCCACCUUUCUAUUGACAUUUGUUUUAUUAAUUAUGUUCUCCUUUUAUCCCUGUUAGUUCCCUCUUUCUAUUUUCUUUGGGUUUAAUUCGCUCCUCUUUUUCUAAUGCUCCCACAAGGCUGUACUUACAUUGUUGCAAGUUUUUUCUUUCUAAGCACAAAAUUUCACUCUAAGCACAGUUUUAACUGGAUCCUACAAGUUUGAUAGGUUAUAUUUGUAUUAUCAGUCAGUGUAAAGAUUUUCUAAUUUCCAUUUAUGGUUCAUCUUCGACCCAUGGGUUAUGCAGAGGUAUAUUGUUUAAUUCCUAAACACUUGGAAGACUUUUUAGUUGCUUUUAUCAGCAUCCAUUUCCAGCUUAAUUCUACUGUAGUCUGAGAAUGUAUUCUGAAUUACUGCAGUCCUUUGAAAUGUAUUGGAACCAGCUCCUUGGCCCAGCACAGUGUCAGUUUUGGUCACCAUGUGGGCUUAAACAGGAGGGCAUGUUAGCAGAGGGACCAGACACACGAGGGUUGUGAGGAGGGAGUGUGCCAGGCCAUGUGCCUGGAGCGUGAGGAGCAGGGAAAGGGCGUGAACGCUGAGGUCAGAACAUGUGGGGCCUUGCAGGUCGGUGCUUCGACUUCUACUCUAAGAGGGAUUGACAUCUGCUGUGGAUGCCAAAUGGAAGACGACAUGAUGUGACUUCAGGUUUACCAAGGCCACCUUGGCUUCUGUGUUGUGGGUGGAGCUUGGGGGCCACGUGAGAGAAGGUGGUGGUGAUUCAGGCUGUGGAGAGAGUAGUGGAGACGACAGGCAUGUUCCAAUUCUGGAAACCUUUCAGGGGUGGAGCCAGGAGCAUUUGCUAAGAAAUUAGAAUUGGAGUAAUAAAGAAAUAGAGGAGCCAAAUGAUCUAGAAAUUAUCUAAAUUUGGUUUAAAUAAACACCGAAGCAAUUACCUUUCUUCUUUAAAAAAUUUUAACAUUGUCACCCAAAAUGUAAUUCCUACAACUUCUUCUUUUGGGGAGAAUAGUUUGAAGCAUGUUUUAAACAUUGAGAGAUAAAAUAUAUGAGAUAAAAGUGCCUUAAUCAAAAAUGUGCAGCUUAACAGAAAAUCAUACGGUGGACUCCUGUGUGGCCACCACCGGGUCCUGACUCACAGUUUUGACGGCAUCCAGGUGCACCCUCACCUUUUCUUAAUGCCAGAGGGACCCACAUCCUAACUUUUGUAUUAAAAUUGUAAUGAUUAGAAAAGAAGGAAGAAACAAAAUAACCUUUUCAGUAUGAUUUCAUUUAUAUAAAGUGAUUUUUUUUGAAUUUAUUGAGAUGUUUGGUGUGAAUGACUACAGAGUUAAUUUCUUUUUUAGAGAUGAGGUCUUGCUCUGUCAUCCAGGCUGGAGUGCAGUGGCACAAUCAUAGCUCACCGUAGCCUCAAACUCCAGAGCUUAAGCAAUCCUCCUGCCUCGGCCUCCCAGGGUGGUAGGAUUACAGGUGUGAGCCACUAUGCCUGGCCAAUGGUUAAUUUUUUAAAAGCACAUGGGUGUUGGAAAAGAAGGUGUAUCCACUGCUUGCCGAGCACAAAGUAUAUUAUACAGUUGAACUAAAUAUAUGACAUCACGAAGUUUUACACAAUUGUAUGCAUAUUUUAAAUUUUAUUGAGGAUAAAAUUAAAAAUAUAAUAAAAUCAUCUCUAUCUUUGUGUGACUGAACGGGUUUAACUGGACAAACUCAGGGGCAAGGAGUCUACUGUGCUUUCCUGAAUCAAACAUAGUUUCCGGGUGUGGAAACUUGCCUCUCAGCCACCCCUAGGCGCCGUCUCCAGCCUGUCUGCUCACUUCAAGCCCUGAAGGUCCCUUGAUGCC
rnacentral:lncRNA from 10 species